rnacentral:rRNA from 1 species
UGCGUAGGCGGCGCGGAAAGUUGGGUGUGAAAGCCCUCGGCUCAACCGAGGAAUUGCGCCCAAAACUACCGUGCUUGAGGAAGAUAGAGGUGAGCGGAACUCAGGGUGGAGCGGUGAAAUGCGUUGAUAUCCUGAGGAACACCGGUGGCGAAAGCGGCUCACUGGAUCUUUUCUGACGCUGAGGCACGAAAGCUAGGGUAGCGAACG